rnacentral:rRNA from 1 species
AUACGUAGGGGGCGAGCGUUGUCCGGAAUGAUUGGGCGUAAAGGGCGCGUAGGCGGCCUGUUAAGUCUGGAGUGAAAGUCCUAUUUUCAAGAUGGGAAUUGCUUUGGAUACUGAUGGGCUUGAGUGCAGGAGAGGUUAUCGGAAUUCCCGGUGUAGCGGUGAAAUGCGUAGAGAUCGGGAGGAACACCAGUGGCGAAGGCGGGUAACUGGACUGCAACUGACGCUGAGGCGCGAAAGUGUGGGGAGCAAACAGGAUUAGAUACCCUGGUAGUCCACACUGUAAACGAUGAAUGCUAGGUGUAAGAGGUAUCGACCCCUUUUGUGCCGGAGUUAACACAAUAAGCAUUCCGCCUGGGGAGUACGGCCGCAAGGUUGAAACUCAAAUGAAUUGACGGGG